ensembl:lncRNA
CGCCUGACCCGCACUCUGUAGUUUGCUGUGAUUGGCUGUCAUUCCCAGGCUUUCCAAUCAGGAGGCUGCUGCGGAGCCAGGGCUAUGGCCUAGGUUCCCACGCGGUUGGUCCCAUACUUUCUCUCGGGUCUUCAGCCCCGCCCAGAGACUCCUUGAGCGCAGAUCGUGACUAAGCAGGAAAGCGCGACGGGACCCGCCCAGAAGGGCUGAGUCACGACGUCCGAAGCUUGCCAGGCCCUGUUAGGGCCCGAGGUGGGGAUUUGCUGGCUGAGGGCCUUGCUAUACAGUCCAGGCUAGCUUCAAACUCUCGGUGAUCCUCGGGCCUCGGCCUCGCAAGUGUGAGACAACAGGCAUGCACCGCCACACCUGGCUUAUUCUGCUCUUUGCCUAGCUUGGGUGAGGCCUUAAAUUCAACCCCUAAUACCUUGAGAGAGGGGGAACAAAAGAAUGCACAAAUAACAUUUUGUCAGAGGCCUUGCAAACCUAAAGAGGAAAGGAGGGUGUAGGAGAGAGGGUGGGCCAUCGAGGUAGAGAAUGCCCCAGAAAACGAUCUGGGAAUGUGUAUAAGAGGGCAGGACGGUUGAUGGAGAUGGUGUGUAUGCACCAGGGCCUUUCAAAAACAGGAUAUCUAAUGCUGUUUCCAGUUGUCUGCUGGGUCCUGGCUCUGUCAUCAGCCAAGUGUGCUGUACACACAGCCUGGAAUGGUGGUACUUUGGUAGUGAAGGGCAUGGCUGGUGGAGCAGGAAAAAAGGAGAGUGUUAGGGGAGGCAAAAGCAGGUGGGAGAUUUAGAAAUCAACAAAAGGCAGGGAAACAGACUUGAGCAGAAUCUAAGCUCCCUGAGGACUCCUGAGAUUGGUGGUAGGGAUGCUGAGUAUCCUGAUUUGAUGAUAGAUACCUGGCUGGAUUUGUGACUCUGUGUGUGUUGGGGGGGACCACGUGCACACUAGACAAGCUCUCUGGAACUGAGCUACACCUCUAACCCUGGAUCCUUUUAAUUAAAUCCUCAGGAACAAGUUGAAAGAUGGGAGGUAUUUAAUUAGUUGUCAUUAGGAGGCCUGUCUCACUUUCCAGUGAAUUCUCACCAUCCUUAAAAUAAGCUCCUCCUCUUGGCCUAGAAAGUCCUGAGUGCUCUGGCCCUCACCAGUCUUUCUGAGUCAUCUCUUAGCAUGAUCCUUUUGUUCCAAUCUCAGUUCCUUCCUUCCUUUCUUUCCC